UCCCCUCCCUGCAGGCCCGUUCUGUGUACAACAGGAGAUUAUAUGCACAGAAACAAGAGGCACACGGCCGAUGUUGGAAGGGGUGCUGUGUUACUGAGGUGCAGUACACAAAAGCAGGGGGCACUCAGCAGAUGUUGGAAAGGGUGCUGUGUUACUUAGGUGCAGCACAGUACCGUGGGAAGGGCAGACACCAGGGUGAAUCCUGGCUGUGUGAUUUGGGCAGCUUAUGUCAUCACCCUGAGCCUCAGGUUUUUCAUCUGUAAAUGAGGAUGGGAAUACCUCCCUCACAGAGUAUAUGUGACAUGAUUAGAAAAUGCCUAGCCAAAAAAUAAUAAAAAAUUUAAAAAAUAGAAAAUACCUAGCCAGUAAUAAGCACUCAAAAAAUAUAUACAUACACACAUUCUCACCUGCCUUUAAGUCUUACUUUCCUUGUUUGUAGGAUAAGGGACUUGGACAGGAUGGUUCUGUUCUCUCCAGCUCUGAAAUACUGGCUUCCUGGCAUCAUCUAAUUUCAGGCAGAAAAGCCAGUUUUCUCAGUGUGUCGAAGAUCAUCAUUUCAAAGGCCAUUUUGUCUAAGUUUAACUGGGUGUGUUUUUCUGGUUAACUCAAGUGACAUCUGUUCCCGAGCUGUUCCUGACAUCAGUGAAGCUCAGCCACGAUGACACAGGAGCCAGGUAUUUACACCUGGCCAGAGUAGACACGAAUAAUCUGUUCAGGUACAUGGUGCAUUGUAAGAACAUGGUCUUGAAUGUUUUAUUUAAAUCAGGGGUGUCCAAUCUUUUGACUUCCCUGUGCCACAAUGGAAGAACAACUGUCUUAGGCCACACAUAAAAUACACCAAUACUAAGGACAGUUGAUGAGUUAAAAUUAUAAAUAAAGGACCUCAAUGUUUUAAGAAAGUGUAGGGAUUGCAUUGGGCUGCAUUCCAGGUCGUCCUGAGCAUGCGGACUGCAGGCUGUGGGGUUAGACAAGCUUGAUGUAAAGCACUGACUGUACAUUAUGUGGUUUAAAAUACCAUCUCACUAGUAUUUUUAUUGACGGAGCAUCUUGAAAAAUAAGGAAAAGCUUACACGGACUUACAAUCUCAUCAAAAUACAAUUUUAUAGUCUGAAUCAAUGAUUUACAUUAGAGUUGGGAAACCCUGUGUCAGAGGAUUUUUGUGUCAGAAUGAUGAUUUCUAGUAGCCUGAGGUGAUGAUGCAUCUGGGAACUGUGUCCACAGCACUAACACGAACGUUUUGCAUUCUAGUUAUUCUCCUUCCCCAGCGUUCCGUUCCAUUCCCCUUCCCUGGCCUUCCGUUCCUUGUUCCUCCCCUUCCCUAGCAUGCCGUUCCUUCUUCCCUAGCGUGCAGUUCCGCACCACUCCCAUGGACAGUACCAGUGUUCCUCACAUUCUUGAGCAUACCGUCCUUUGUGGGUCUCGGAAAUAUCCGUGCAGAGACACUUUCUUCAAAAUGUUGAACCGGUCCCUCUCCACGUUCAUGAACGCCUUCACAGGUAAGACCAGCAUCCUGAAUGGAAACCGCGUUUGGGUUUGCCAGGCACCCACUGGAAUUCAGUUAGUUUCUGAGAAGGGAUGAGAGGAGUGGGCAAUUAAUGUUCUAGAAUAAUUUUUACCCCUCUCUAGUUGAAGGACGUUAGAAAUUUCAUCCUUUAGGAAAGCCGCAUGGUAGCGAGAUUAUAAAAACUAGUGUUUUAAUAAAAGGCAAGUGAACUUUUCCCAGAAAGGUUGAAAACAAUUUUCUCUUGGGGAUAUCGCUACAAUGCCAUGCCUCCAGAGUUACCACUAACGUUGAUGUUUGACUUUUAGUAAGGCUGACGCUAGUGGAGAGGGUGACAAUGAACAGUGCACUCUGUGAAGGAGUGACAUCGAAGAGCAGGUUAAAUCCACGCUCUUACAGAAUGAGGUUGUCUUUGUAGACGUGUGAAAGUCUCUGGAGACACUUGAGAGAGUUCAGAUGUUCGCUGAAGAAAGUCCUGGUGCCCGUCGAGUGCAGAUCCUGAGACCAGAUGGGAAAGCCGGCACUCGGGGUGAUGAGUUGGGACAGCUGCUGUGGUCAGGGGCCAGAGCAUGGAGCCACUGCCCCAUCUCAAGAAUAACUGCAACUUACUGUCCUAGGACAAAGGGGAAAUGAGGCUUGAGAUUCAAUAAUUUUAGUAGAAAUCUGUUAUAUUUUACAAUUUCACUUUUCAUUUGUACCCAGCUAGUGAUUAUACUCUGUAUCCAUUUUCCACACAAAAUCCCAAGGACUUUCAGAAUCUCCUCUCCGUGUAUUUGGACGCCACCUUUUUCCCAUGUUUACACGAGCUGGAUUUCUGGUAUGUCAUGAGUGAUUAACUAGUUGAUGCAGACUUUAGUAUUUGAGUCACUGUCAGCUUAUAAUUAUUUGUCCUCAGGCAGGAAGGAUGGCGGCUGGAACACGAGAAUCCUAGCGACCCCCAGACGCCCUUGUCUUUAAAGGAGUCAUCUUUAAUGAGAUGAAAGGAGGGGUUGUGCCCCAAGCGCCAUCUCUACCGGGCGCUAUGUGGAUGCAUCGGUGACAAAAUGGAAAGCCUCUGGUCCUGGCGGAGCUUGUUCUGAUCAGGAGAGACCCGAAAGCAAGAAACACAGUGAACAAAUGCAUGAUGCCCAGAGGUGGAUGGCCGCAGGACACGCCACCCGUCGCCGUGACCACACUGUCCCUCAGAGGAGCCGCUGGCCAUGAGUGUCCCAUCCACAUGGAGAUGUACUUGAAGAUUCUUUACACACUGGGUUUCAAAGACUUAGUAUGGAAAACAGUGUAAAUAUUAAUAACACAAUAACUGUUAUCAAAAUAGUGGGCUGAAUAGAAAAUACAGGUUUUUUUUUUAAUUUUUUUUUUUUUUUUUUAG